GGUCAGGUUGCAGAUGCAGAGGAGUGGGCAGGGUUGGUGGAGCGCAAGUGAACUGAACUUCUUGCGCUCUUCUUGUGAACCUUAUUAAAAAUGUUACUUUAUUAAGAAAUUAUUUAAUUAAAAAAAAAAAACUUACAGCAGUGCUUCACGCGUUUUGAUGGGACCGUCCUCUUAGUAACUGGAAUCGUUGUUCUGCCCUUGAUUGAUGCUGUUUAAUGAAAACUUGAGUGCCUUGUAUGAUGCCAGCCAGAUAAGGUGUCAAUGCGGACACAGUUACAAGCUUUAUUAGAGCAGAGUUGGAUGAGAAGGGGGCACCAUGCGGGAACCUCCACCCAGAGAGCACUGCUGCCACCAGGCAUGGCCGAGAGAGGUGCCAUGACAGGACAGGGUGGAUGAGCAGCACACUCACACAUACACACCCUCAGGGUUCAGGCUGGACACCAGGGGGUGCUGCAGGUUGCGCGGAUGCCCCAGAAACUGCUUAGCUGUGGGACGCUGUAGAGAGUCUGUGAACAGAGGAAAAUCUUUAAUGUAAAAAAAAAAAAAAAAAAAAAUUAUCUAAAAUCGAAAAACAGUGUCUACAUAAACCAGCGAACAAUUGGAUUUUAAUAGUGUAGUGAAAAAUGAACAAUAGCACCAUGCUGAAUAACCUGAUUAUGGGCUAUAAUCCAUACAGGACUUCUGGUCACAAUCUUAACUGGAUGUAUGAUAUAGUAUUUUGCUAUUUAUAUGACUGCUUAAAUAAUCUAAUAAAGCUGAAAUGUGUGAGCAUGAAAAUGCAUUUACUUGGUCAAAAAGACUUUAUAACCUGUCCGGUGCAUAGCAUAUAUUGACGAAGAUGUAACUGUCAAGUGAAUGUGUAAAUCAUGUCUCCUCUACAUUGAUCCUGUAUUUGCAUAAGACAGAUAUCUGUGCUAUGUGUGUGAGUUUGUUUGUGUAUGCCGUACCACUGUCUAUGGUUGUGUCCUGCAACAGCUGAGCCAGCUCCUGUUGGUCCAGCUGCUGGUGGAGGUCUGUAUGUGAGGAGUUGUGGGCUGGGAGCACUCCAGUCUGCUGGAUGAACUGCUGCAGGUUACACUGCCUCAGCUCCUUGUUCAGCUCGUCCAGCUGCUCCUGUUUAGCCUGGACACACAAGAGGGACAAAGUUACACAAAUACACUGUUUUCAUGAUUUUACAGAGCCGGUCAAUAUCACAUUAUGCUUAAAUCAAGCUAAAAUGAAGAGGUUCACAGUAAUAUAUUUCAAACAAGAAGCCAUUGUUUAAAUGUAAGCAAACAGACUGGGCAAUAUCAUUAAAAUAUUUAUACCACUAAAAUUAUUUAGAGCCAUUUUUGCACACGUGUGAAUUAAUCAACCAUUUGGAGCUAAAAUGGCUAGAUCAGAUCAAACUCUAUUAUGACAUACAGUAAGGGCAGUUAAAUGGUGGAAAGCAAAAAAAAAAGAAAGAAAGGAA